AUUUUGGAUUAUAUUGUUGUGUUUGACAAAUCUUCAAAUAUGAUACUCUAUUAUAGUUCCUUAUGAUGUUUACAAAUUAAUAUGCUUUUGUGUGAUAAUCCCUCGAAGUUGUGAUUAUAUCCUAAUUUGGAUUUAGUUGAAAAAUUGAAUUAAAGGUUGCAAUUUAUUUUUUGCGUUCUUAAAAAUUAGUAUAAUAUGGAGGCCUACAUUAAUUAGUUGGGAUAAGUUUCCUGAAAAUCUAAAUGACUAAACAUAGCCUUUUUUUAAGAGCCUGUUUGGAUUGACUUAUUUUAGGUGCUUUUAAGCACUUUUUGUAGUGUUCGGGUAAAUAUAGAAAAGUGCUUUUAUGCACUUAUUUUUAAGCCAGGACUUAUGCUUAUAAGCCCAUCCAAACAGGCUCUAAGUCGUUCAGUUUCACAUGGAGUUGAAGAAUCGGAUUAAACCCUAAAACCAUUUUUUGUGUUCUGAAAGAAUAGGAUAAUAUGGAGGCAUAUUACACGGAGGAUUGUAAAGUAUUAGUAUCUCAAUUGAAGCAGCAAGAAAAAGAACUUAGGCUCAAGAGAAGGUGGUUAAUGGACUUGCACUUAUCCGAAAGAGAGCAAAAAAAGAUGGAAAGACUCAAACCGCCCAGUGAUAUGAGUUUACCUGAAUCAUUGCUUAGAGAAGAUGAUUUACAUUAUGAGAACAUUAGAACUUCUGUUGCAAAGGCAUUUGGAGUGUAUACGGAUGAAAGGACAUAUCAUGGUGCGCCAGCCACAUUGCUCUCUAGUUCAGCUGAGAAUUUGAGAUGCAUUUAUUCCAUGCUUGAUAAGAUGAACAACAAGGGGUUAUGCUGUAUUGCAGAGACUGUAACUGGUGGCUCAAUUACUAUUGAGAAAACCAAUUGGCAAAUGAAAAGGAUAAUCAAGCAAUUUCUUCCCAAAAUUCUCCAUAAGAAUGAUGAUUCCAGUCAAAGUCGAAUUAAACAAAUUUCUCAACUCCUCAAAGAUCCUCAAUACUUUCGUGUUAAUCAUGGGGCUUCUUGUUCUACCUCAGAAUCCUUUCGCAGUUCUGCUAUUUAUGUACUAGAUAGACUUGAGGAGCUGCCUCUUCUAAUUUUGAGUAAAAUGCGUAGGAAUCUGAGCAAUGUCACGGGUUACAUCCCCAACAUACAACCUCCAAGAAUAGGUUGGAAGAUUGAAAGUUUAGUUAAACAAAUCAGGAAAAAAUCAUUGAAAAUGUUAUCAGACUAUGAAGAAGGGGAUGAGCCACCAGAACCCCUGGCCAAGGCUUUGUCCGUAGCAGCCUUAAAGUUAAAACCAGAACUUGAUUAUUGUCCCUCUCAGAUGGUUUUCCAAAAACUUUCAUCAGAUGUAGAAGCAUUGCAGAAUGAUAUAGCAAAAGCAAUUAGGAUUCUAGAUGAUAAAAAUAAAAUUAGUUUCGCAGAGCUGGGAAAUUUGCCUCUUGUGCUGGAUUCUAAUGAUGAAGCUGUCAAAGGAAGUGGUCGUUUGCGUGUGAAAGUGAAGAAACUGUUGACUGAAUAUCUUCUCGAGUGCAGCGACAUGCAGUCUAUCCCUGAAAGUUUACUAGAAAGUCUAGCUAUUGUUAACAAAACAUCUAGGCAUGCAUCUAGGAAAACUUACUCAAACAAGGAGGUAGAAGAAGAAGUAGAAUGUGUGCUGAUUAUUAGUGCUCAGAUAAAACAAAUUGUUUGGGAUUUACUCACUGAUUGUAUUGUCAGUGAAGAUUUUGCGAUAGCUUACAUGGAGAAUGUAGAGGAAAGUUAUUAUGAAGGUGGUGAUGAAGAUGCAGAUCUUUCUGAUCUUCCUCGAAAUUGCAGGUCUGAUCCUAAUGUCUCAUACAGCCAAGCAGAAAGUGUCGGCGAGAUAAACCAAAGCAAUUCCAAGUCGCCAACCACUGCUAGUCGAGAUGAUGGUUUAUCCUCUCCGCUUUCACCAAAACUCAAGUCGAGUGUCAAACUCGAGUCAAUGUAUACUGAUGAAAUAGAUUCGGUUCAUUCCAAUUGGUUUGACAAUUCCUCAUCAUUCUUAGAAUCAAAGGAUUCUGAAGACGCAAAUAGUAUGAGUGGUAUAGAUUACCAGUUAAGAAGCAUAGGCCAACAGGAAGGAAGGGAUUCAUGCAGAUCUACGUCAACUAGAGAUCAAAAUAGAUUUUCUGAGGAAAAAGGAACUGUAGGGAACGUGGGAUGCAGACCACCAAAAUUUACAUUGGCAGACUGUUCAGAAGAAAAAAACGUAUCACUUCACAGACAAAACUCGAGUAGAAAUCAGUAUCUUCUUAUCCAGGAAGGUUCUGAUGAGACAAGUAUGGUUGCUUAUAGUCUUAUCGGCUGUAUGUUGAAUAAGUUUGCUCAGUUGGAUGGGUUACAGUUAUCUAAGGAUGAUGUAUCAUAUCUCCAAGGCAAUACUUCAGAUCCCAAAAGUUUUGAAGUUCUCAAGGACAGGCAAAGCUCUUGUGAUGAGACCACUAACUCCAUUAUGGUCCAUGUCCUUGAAGAGAUAAUUCCUUCAUUUUCAAACAGUGGUAAAGAACAACUGAAGGAGUUGUUGGGCUUGAAGUAGGUUCUGACGCCUUGAGUCAUUGAUUGGAGCAUAGCUCAAACUCUUACUUACAUAGAAGUCUUGCUACAUUUAGUCGGGGAUGAUAUCUAGCGGGGACCAUGAUAUCAUUGUCGUUGGAAGGAGAUUCAUUUCAUGUGGAUGAUAUGCUUACAUGCAUCGGAAAAGACAUACUAUUGAUUCGUAUAGGAGAUACAGUCUGAUGAACAUGGUGUUAAUGUUGGCUUACGGAAGAUUGUGAAAUUUUGGCCAGAAGAGUAGAGAGCGUAGUUUUUCUUUUCUUUUUAAGCCCAUACAUGUGUUAGUUUUAGUUGCUGCUCCAUUUAUUCUAUUAUUUGUUAACAUUCUUUUUGGAUAAACCAGGGAAUGAUUUUCUGGUAAUACAUACGAUAUAUCGGCAUUUUAUUUAAUUCAGCCGAACUUAUUGUUUCUGACUCGAACUAUCCCAAAAAAAAAAAAAAAGGAAUAAAAUGCAUGCAUAUAGUAAGAUCACAUUCAUUCUGAACUCA